rnacentral:rRNA from 1 species
CCCUUAGAUGUCCGGGGCCGCACGCGCGCUACACUGAAGGAAUCAGCGUGGCUUUCUCCCUGACCCGAAAGGGUUGGGAAACCCGUUGAAUCUCCUUCGUGAUAGGGAUUGGGGCUUGAAAUUGUUCCCCAUGAACGAGGAAUUCCCAGUAAGCGCGAGUCAUAAGCUCGCGUUGAUUACGUCCCUGCCCUUUGUACACACCGCCCGUCGCUACUACCGAUUGAGUGAUCCGGUGAAUUGUUCGGACCUGCUGGUUCUUCGGUUUCGGAGUUCUAGUGGGAAAGUUCUGUGAACCUUAUCACUUAGAGGAAGGAGAAGUCGUAACA